UAGAAAUCCCUGUGUACCUGAGGCCUUCUAAAGCUGCUCCUCACUUGGAGUGCUGCUCGUGCCACCGUCCUGGCGUCCCAUGGGGAGGGGGCUCUGCCAUGCUCACCCCCAGCGCCUGUGGCUGGGCGGCAUUCUGGGGUGAUGAACAGGGCUGGCGAGGACACAAAUCCAUGCAGACAGGCAGUGAUGGAAAAUGGGACAGCGCUCAGAAGGAAAAUGGAGCUCCUGGACCACUUACAGUGCCAGAGCCUGACACUGAAUUGUAAUUGCUCUGCUCUCGAUGCUGCGGCUGAUGCAGCACAAGGUUACUUAGCACUGCUCUGCUUGCUGCCAUUUGCAUCCAGUUGGCUUGUGGGUGAGAAAUCUGAACUCUGAUCCAGCUGGCUGCUGAAUUACUCUGAACACCUUGUGACCAGUGGAAGAGCUGAUGUAGGGAAGUGAAUUUUGAGGUCCCUUUUAUCUUUAUGCACAAUGCUGCAGCACACUUCCUCCAUUGUCUUCAUCCAUCAACUGCCCCAAGUAUAUAUAUUAUCCACUGGCUCAGCUGCUCCUGCUUCCUGCAUGAGUCUCCCUCCCUGCUGCUCUCCUUGUCACCCAGAUGACACGUGCAGUGACAGACUCGGUUUCUGCUUCCCCCUGCAUGGUUGGGUGGGCGCUGCUGGGGCUGAUCUUCAUCACUGCUUCCCAGAUGCUGUCUCGUACAGUCAGUUUUGGGGAAUUCUGGCCGUGUCCCUUCCCUUGUUUCCCUGCUGAAUUGAGCCAUCUUUUUUUCCCAGGCAGUAGCUGCCAUCUGCACCAGGAGGUUAAUUUGUUCUUCUUCCCCAUAAGUGCAUUUAUCACAUGGAAGUGGCUGUUGUGAAAAAAUAUUGAUCAAACACCGGCUGUUCCCUGGCUGGACUGCAACGGAGUGUUACAGUUACUCAAUUGCUUGGCAUUUUCCUUUGUGUGCAGACAGCUAUGAAGAGUGGUGUGCUCAUGUGCAUGUGUGUGGCAGUGGGAGGAGCGGGCAGCGGCUGCUGGAGGCUGCUUCACCCCCCAGUGCUGCUGGCAGCGAUUCUGCUGGUGCUGGCGGCAUGCAGCAGGACUCCUUAUGUCCAAACUCCUCAUCUUGCACUGUGUCUGCAGAGGCCUGGAGCAUGGUGGAGAUGAGGGGAGGAGGUGUGUGAGGAGUUGAAAAGGUUUCUGGUAUUGGGGAGCAGAGGGUUUGGGGUAUUUUUGGUUCUGAAUAUGGAAGUCUACUACUGAGUAUUUCUAAGGGCACUUGGAUCUGUGAUCUGGCCAGCACAAGUGCUCUGGUUUACUCUGCUUCAGACCUGGAGCUAGACCCUCUGUGUCUGCCUGUGUCAGCCCUGGGACAUCUCUCUGAGCUCUGUCCCCUCCCAGCACAGCUGAUUGCUACCAGUCUGUGCACCGGAGCACGCUUGUCUCUCUAUUAAAGAAAAAUACAAUAAUAACAACUCCUUGUGGCAGCUGCACAAAUA